UUACGGUCAAAUCACGCUGAAAACACCGGUUCUCGUUCGAUCACCGAAGUUAAGCAUCGUAGAGCCAGGUCAGUACUGUGC